UACAGAGGUCCCAAGCGUUGUUCGGAUUCACUGGGCGUAAAGGGUGCGUAGGUGGCCAGGUAAGCUUGGUGUGAAAGCUCGGAGCUUAACUCCGAAAAGUCAUUGAAUACUAUCUGGCUGGAGGGUCGGAGGGGAGACUGGAAUUCUCGGUGUAGCAGUGAAAUGCGUAGAUAUCGAGAGGAACACCAGUGGCGAAGGCGAGUCUCUGGACGACUCCUGACACUGAGGCACGAAAGCUAGGGGAGCAAACAGG
rnacentral:rRNA from 1 species